rnacentral:lncRNA from 1 species
AUCCUGAGUCUUCCUCCAAGGCAGUGCAUCUUUCCUGCCAGUACUGUAGUCACCUUUUGGGAACUACACGUGGGCAAGAAUAAUGGAGUGUCUUGCCAUUUGCUUCUCCAAGGGAUCAAACCUGUAUCUCCUACAGUGGCAGGCAGAUACUUCACCACUGUGCCACCUGGGGAGCCCAACUGAGGUUUAGCGACGAUGAAUGACACCCACUGCUGGUAGCCGGGAAGUGGCAUUGCCAGAAGAUGGAGCCAGGUCUGACAACAUCAAGUGUCUCUCUGCUGGCUUCUUCACUGCUCUAGGCUGUUUGUGCUGUGUAGUCAGUCAGAAGUCAGAUGCAUACAGAAUUUCUGCCUUUUAAAGUAGAUUAUAGUCAUUGCCUUCCGCUGAAGACCACAAGUAAGGAAACAGAGUCUCCUAAGUACAGAGGAAAGACCACUAUCUUCAUGACUACAUGCCAUAGAGAUAUCAGGAAGCCUUUUGUCCCAGGUGCUGUCAUGCUCUGUAAAUGUUUAACCCACAAGGUUCUGUGAUGAUGCCUUUAUAGGUUUAAUAUGAAACUCAUAAAAGGAAGUGCUGUAUUUGAUUUAAUAAAUUUGCAU